AUGAAGACUCAUCAUUUCCACGUGUUUGGUUUGAAUGACUUCCCACAGCUUUGGGAACUGUGCAGGUUUGAGGACAUGGUUGGGAAUAGGGACUUUUUGCUUUCACACCAGGUGUCCUGGUCUGUAACAUUACGGUGCAUUGAGAGAGCUGGCUUUGGAAACAGCAUCAGAGAAAAUUAAAAGCCAUUUUGAGUCUCUCCAGGAAGCAAAUGAGAAAAAGGUAGUGACUCUUGGGAAGAAAGCUUGAAGUAUUAGUGGGAAGGUAUCAGUAAAGAAGGUCAGUCCUGAGAGGAAGAGCAUAUCCAUUAGCAGGUAUUUUCAAAGAAAAGUUGAAAAAAAAAAUCCAGGUGAAUCAAUGAGUUGAAAUGCAUGAAUUUCAGUCAUGUUGGUAGUCAUCUCUAAAGAUGGAGAUGUGGAUGGUAUUGCAAUGAAACAGUUGUGAAAAGCAAUGGGCAUACAUAAUUAAUGUUAAACUCAUGAACAUCUUCUGUUGUGAAGAAUUCAGAGGAAAUAUGUGAAAGCAUACACAUGCCUUUCAUUGAGCAAAGGGUUGUUCCAGAUGCCCUACUAGCUACUAACACCUCCUGCAGCAGUGCAAAAGGUUCAAUCCAUUUUCUAUCACCACUUGCAUCCUGAGAUUAUGUCAUGAAUACAUAGAGAUUCACCCAUAGAGCAUGGGAGUUCUUUGACAAUAGUGGAAUCAGAGGCCACAUACAAGGACACAUCUCACGCCUCUCUUCAGGGCUCAGGCAUUGUCCUUGGGAUGGUGGGGCUGCUGUGUGUGGCAAGGCCUGGGCUGCCCCAUGUUGAACAUGGCAGGUUCCAACAAUCUUGCUGCAGGGCGCAGCUGGACCACGAGAAGAAGGGGACUAGAGGGAAUCUACUUUAGUUUUUGUCUUUGUUUUUCACUACCCAAUAUUCAUGGUCAGUAAGGUAAAUUAAUUUUACCCAAGUUGAGUCUGUUUUGCCCUUGAUUGUAACUGAUAAGGGCUUUCCCUAUUUCUAUCUCAAUCUGUGAUAUUUUCCACCUUAUUUUUGCCCACAGUCCUGUUGAGGAGGGGCAACAGGAGCACCUGGGAGGGGGUCUGGCACCCAGCUCAGGUAAGGCCAACACAGCCUCUCAAGAAAGGGGUGUCUGAUUUUUGAAAGUGCAGUGUAUUUUUAACAAGAUGUCUAAAAACUAUUUACCAUAUAAAUCACUUAGUGAAUUCAAUUUCUAAACUAAGUAGAAAAUUAUUCCAAAUUUCAGACUAUUUCUUGUCUCUUAAGUUGGCAUAAAGGCUUAUACUUUAAUACUGGAGUAUAAACAAACAAAGGGGGAAAUGAUGUGAAUUCAAAUGACUGUUAAAGGUAAGUUUUAUAAUGAGUCACGCGGUGAUAUGCUUGUCUGUAUACAGAUUCUUCUUCAGACCUGCAAUCAUACAGUACUGAAGACUGAGAAGAAAAUAACUAAAUGACUAAAUUAGCCAAAAUGUAUGGCUACUAUGAAUCAGCCAUAUAUUAUCAUAUAAAUUUUGUGGAGGUGUUCAAAUAGAAUAGAGAACAGCAGAAUGAUUAUACAAAUUGUGGUUCUUUGGUUUUUCAAAAAUUUUGCAAAUUAGAAUAUAUUGUGAAUGAUAUAUUGUAUAUAUAAAAUACUACAUUGAUUUUGAUGUGAUCUUUGCAUCUGCUAGCAAAGAAAACUGACUGAAGAAAUAUUUUAAAUUAGAAAUGUAAUUUAUAAUGCUAUAAAGAAAACUUUAUUGUAUGAACACUGAAGAGAGGCAGUAAUCUGUUUCCUAAACGAUGAGAGAAAAACAGAGUAGAAGAGCUUAAUCUUCACCCAAGAGCACAGAAAGAUAAAUUUUAAAAUAAUGUAGAAGUUGGGGUACAUAUACAACACAACCACUUUCCAUCUGAAAUAGUCAUUAAAGCCAAAAUUAAUUCAUUACUAAUCUGUCUUUAUAAAGCAUAACUAUUUGCUAUUAUAGAAUGUUGGUCUUUAUUAAUGGAAAUCCUCUUUCUUAAAAUAGCCAUUAGAAGAAAAGUUCAAAUAACAUUCCAGGAGAUGAAGUACGUGAGAGUCACUGUUUUCAAAGAAUGAAGGAGGACAGAAAGACAGAAGGAAAAAAAAAAAAAAGGAGUAGGUGGAAGGAAUCAAUUUCCUAAUGUGAAUGAAUGAUUAAAAAAAAAAAAAGAAGAAUGUGGGAAGGAUAAAUCCAUAUGUAUGUAAUAUUCUUGAGUCUUCAGAGAGCCAGAUACCUCUGGAAAUAUAUAGCUAUAUUUCAAUUCAGCAAAAAGUUAGUAUCAUCUACACAGCAGCUAUUCAUUCUGAAAUGUAAAUGACUUCAGAACUGUUCAUCUGUUGUAAUGAAAUGCAGUUCAGUCUGAAAGCCAUUCCCAAUUUUGACCUUAACUGAAACAUUUAGAAUGACUAAGGCGUAACAAUUAUACCUCAGAUGUUAAUAUCCAAAGCAUGUCUAAAAGUGUAUCUAAAAUAUUGUUUAGUACAUGGAAUCUUCAUUAAGGCUGUAAAUCUUAGGUAGUUGUCACCUAUAUUUUGCCAUUCAUAUCAAGCUAGAAAUUUUGUUGAUUUCUUUUAUACUAGAUUCUUUCUUUCUUUCCUUUUUUUGGUUGGUAUUCUUGAAUUUUGCACCCUGCAAAUUUCUGGUUCAGUUCUUAACUCAGAUAACUGUUAUCAGAGCACAAAAUGUAUGAACUUCCCCUGAAACAAAUGGUUAUUAUCGGAUAUGUAAUAUUUUGCCAUCAUUACUGUAUUGUCCUUUUAUUGUUUUCAACACUACUAAGUACCUGCCUUUUGCAAAUUAAGGUGUAGGAAAAUCAUUUGGCCCAACUCUGAAUGGGUAGAAUCUUGUUCUAAAGAUACAGGACUUAUUUUUCUACAUAUUUACAAGUAGAAAUUGAUGUUUUGACAACAGUUAUGAAAAAAAAAAUCAGAAUAUUUUAGAAUAAAUUCUUUCUAUGGGAAUCA
ensembl:lncRNA